AGUGAGUUCAUCUUUUUUUUGGUGAGCAUUGAGCAAGCAAACGGGCUCGCGAUUUCCUGUGAGACUGGUCGUCGCUACAAAAUCGCAAUACCUACACGAUUCGACGGCCACAAUUACAAGCUCCACAGGAGGAAGCCCAGCAUCAGCAUCGAUCUAAAAUUCGAUUUCACCGUCGUCGCCAGAGUCACCUCUGCAGGUGCGAAGAGUACACUUGGCAGCAAGAUAGGGUGUUCCGCGAGAGCAAGCGAGACGGAGCACAUCGAAAUUCGAAAGAUUCGCGUUUCAUCGCACGCCCGCACGCAACAAUAGGACAAUCGUACGGGCGCGAAAGAGACAGCAAGUGACGCCACAAAACUUCACAGCAGCAACAGGCGAGCUCGCGCAACCGCCAUUUUGUUGGGAAGAAUUGGAUCGCCGUCGCUGAUCAAUACUGUAAAAGUGUUUAAUAUAACAGUGAAUCUUGUAAUACAUAGGUAGUUAAUAGUGUUCCUGUAAAGUUAUUAUUGCGUUAUUAACGUAAAGUACAGGUAAUAUUUGUUUUAAGAAUCGACAAGUUUAGCGAACAAUGGAAGACCUAAAGAAAAAAGUCGCCGCACGCGGUUAUGUGAAAGACAGUUACACUGCGAAGGCCUACCAACUUGACCGGGAUAUGAAUGCUAAGCCGCAAUUGGAGGAUUUUCUCAAUUACAUUGAGAACCGAGCCAACGCACUGGAGAAUGUCGAGCAGGGACGUCAACCCCAUCCUGGUAAUAGUAGCAGUAAGGUAGCAGCAGUCGCCGCUACAGGAGCAACAUGCACUUACUACGCUAUUGCCCAACGAGCAGUGCAUGACCAUCAGCCUGCCCAGCCACAGCAACCAGUCAUCAGCUGUGCCCCGGAGUGCUGCUCAUCCACCACAACAGCCUAGUAGCACACAGCUACAUGUCUUCAACACAUACUUCGGGCACAUUGUAGGAGGGAAUCUGCCACCUAAGUGUUUCAGAAGGAGACUCGGCAGAUUUAAUCGGCUUUGCUGACGCUUCGAGUAAGACAGCCUACGGAUGCUGUGUGUACCUGCGAGUCACAGACCAAACAGGUACAACGAAAUUGCAUCUACUUUGUUCGAAGUCGCGAAUCAACCCUAUCCAAAAGAAAGGCAUGACUGUGCCAAGGCUUGAAUUGAAUGCUGCACUCUUGCUAUCAAAAUUGGUUUUGAGGACUCAUGAUACACUCAGAGUCAAAAUUAACAUCAGGCAUGUUUGUUUAUUCAGCGACUCGCAAAUCGUUCUUGCAUGGCUAAACACUGAGCUAACAAAACUUCAAGCUUACGUAUCGAACAGAGUAAGUGUAAUUCGUCAAAACACAUCUGGAUACAGUUGGCAUUAUGUCAAUACGCAUGACAAUCCUGCUGAUCUCAUUAGCCGAGGCGUCAACCCGAAUGAGCUGAGUAGCUGCGAUAUUUGGUGGAAUGGCCCUAAGUUCCUGCAAAACAGUGAGUACAAGUUUGCUGCUUAUAGCUCACCAGCUGAGUCACUCACAGAGGAGCGCUGCUUAGCUCCUUCCAGCAACUUGCUGUGCCAAAAUCCCAAUCCGCUUGACUAUGUGUUGAAGCGCUUGCAUAAUUACUCUAAUAUAAAUAAAAUAGUAAGGCUAUUAGCAUACAUAUUGCGAUUUUUAAACAAUAUUAACAAAAAUAAUUCUAAAAUAAUUACAAACUAUCUGCAAAGUUCUGAGUUAGAUAAUGCAUUAAUGUUACUUAUUAAAUAUGAACAAAGUAUAUAUUUUAAAUCUGAAAUCAAAGCAAUAAGCAAUAAUAAGAGCUUGAAGGGGAAUCUAGUUGAGUUGCAUCCCUUUCUUGACAAUAGGGGUCUAUUGCGCGUUGGUGGCAGGCUGCAUUAUGCUAAUAUAGCUUAUUCACAAAAACAUCCUGUCAUACUACCUAAGGGCUCUUCAAUUACUAGCUUGCUUAUAAGGUGUGAACAUGAAAGGCUACUGCACGCAGGGCCUAAGCUUUUACUCUCGCAUCUCAAUCAAAGGUUUUGGAUUGUUAAUGGCUUAUUAGAAGUUAAGAAAGUAACUCACAAAUGUAUUGUAUGUUUCAGACAAAAGGCCUUAGCAGCCAAGCAACUGAUGGGCUCCUUGCCGGCUGCACGUGUAACAGCCACCAGCAGGCCAUUUGAGAAAGUCGGCGUGGAUUUCGCUGGGCCAAUUGAUGUGAAACUCUCUCGCGUAAGACGAUCUUUAAUAGGUAAAGGGUAUAUCUGUGUAUUCGUAUGUUUCGCGACAAAAGCAGUUCACUUAGAACUUGCAUCAGAUUUGACCACGGAAACCUUUCUUGCGUGCUUAAGGAGAUUUAUCUCCAGACGAGGUUUGCCCACCGAAAUUCACUGCGACAAUGCAAGUACAUACUUUUAAAAGUGCAAGGAGUCAAUUAGUUGAGCUCUACAAGCUGCAAGCUUCGCAGAGCCACCAAAUGCAGGUUCAAAGAUUUACCGCCGAGCGUGGGAUACAAUUUCACUUUAUACCAUGUUACUCGCCUACAUUUGGCGGGCUCUGGGAAGCGGCAGUUAAGAGCACGAAGUUUCACUUAAAAAGAAUAUUACAAAAAACUGUUCUAACUUAUGAACAGCUUAAUACUGUAUUAACUGAAAUCGAAGCAGUACUUAAUUCUAGGCCACUCUUACCUUUAUCUUCAAACUCAGAUGAUUAUUGUUAUUUAACACCUGGUCACUUUAUUAUAGGUAGUGCUUUGUCAAUGUAUCCUGAAAUAAAUGUAUGUAACAUUCCACAAAAUAGACUUAAGUUUUGGCAAUUAUGUAAUUCUUUAAAACAAUCCUUUUGGAAAGUGUGGCACCAAUGUUAUUUAAAUUUAUUACAAAACAGGCCUAAGUGGCGUGAUACAGUUUGUAAUGUUAAGUUAGGCAACUUAGUUAUUUUAAAAGAGGACAAUAUUCCUCCUAUGUCAUGGCCAAUGGCACGAAUUGUUAAAUUAUUUCCAGGACAUGAUGGAAAAAUUAGGGCUGUUGAUGUUAGGACACCAAAUGGGAAAACCCAUACCCGUGCCAUCAAUAAAAUUUGUUUACUGCCAAUAGAAUAUGAUGAUAGUACUUAAGAAAUUGUAUUAAUGUUUAAUAAUAAGUCAUAUUUGCAAAACCAUUUAAGUUAUAGUUUUUUACUCUUAUGUAGUGUAAAACAUAAUUGUAAGUUAUUGUAUAAGUAAUAAAUAAAUACAUAGCAUAAACAAUAACUAGAUAAAUAGCAUAAAUAAUAAUGUAACCUUCACUCUAGUUUCUUUUAAGAUUUAUUUCAAACAAAUGUUCUAUGAUUGUUAUUUGUGUUUUCUGUGAGGCCGCAGCAUGUUGGAUUUUAUAUUUUAUAAAUUGCAACAUUAAGUUAAUUUUAAUUAUAUUUUUGUACCGUGGCAACAUCGUUCUCUCUCUUGCUCUGCGACACGGACCGAAUACACGUAAUUAUUUGCAAUCGCCGUUUUAUUUCCUGAAUCUCCUGCAUCAGCAGCCCACCAGCCCUAUCGACACACUACACCGCUGCACAAUCUCCGAAUCCUAUCAGGUAUACACUACAACUUUGACUCAGCAAUUAACGAAGUCUCAACAUCCCAGCAUGGAAAUUAUUUUAACAUUUUAGUGCAAUUUUCUUUCCAGCUAUUUGUCUGGUAAAAAUAACCCCACCCAAAACAAAAAUGUGAAAGGCUGCCAAGUUCGAAAAUAUGGGAAUGCUUCGCCUAUAAAAGAAGUGAGAUCUGAAUAAGUACCAAGUUCCAUACACAUACCUCAGUUAAAAAUAGUUACAGGAAUGCACACUUGAUUUGCCGCAGUUUGGAAAGUAGAUUCUGAGUAAAUAUCAUAUUAAAUACCUAAAAUUCUAAUACAGAACGCAAACCUGUUUUUCCAGCAGUUUUCUGAUAACAUCCAAACUAAUAUUAUAAAUGCAAAAGUAACUCUGUCUGUCUGUCUUUUCUUCACGCCUAAACUACUGAACCGAUUUGUGUGAAAUUUGGUACAGACAUAGUUUGAAACUUGAGAAAGAACAUAGGAUAGUUUUUAUUACAAAAAAAAUAUUAUUUUUAUAAUUAAAAUUAUUCCGGACAUAUAGCGCCAUCUAUUGGUCAAAUCAAAAAUCUGCUGGUAGUCACUAUUCCACGCGAACGAAGUUGCGGGCAAAAGCUAGUUUUUUAUAAAUUUUCUGUACUUUUUAAUGAUGUUACUUGGCAAGUUUUAAUAGAAAAUUAUAUACUUGAUUCAUUGUGUUUAGUAGGUUUAUAACAAGGUGUGUGAAAACAAACAACAGGCAACAAAAAGCAGGUUCAAAAAUCAACUCCUAAAAAUGUGUGCGUUCGCGCAGCGGAAUGUUGUUGAAUUUAAAGAUUUUAAUUAUGCAGAUAAUUAGUGUAAGACGUCCUAUAAUUGUGUAUGGUAAAUAAAAAUUUGUGUAUGCAGCCAUUGUGGAGAAAUUCACCAAAAACAGAUUCCGCUGGGCGAACGUUGGCGAACGUUGUCCUGGCGGAACUUUUUUUAAUCCAUAGACUUUAGAAGAAAAGAGAUGUGUUCGAAAAUUAGUGUGUAUUUGUGUAUAAUUAAUUAUGUAUGAAUGAAAUCAGUGCAUGCAUAAACUUCGGAGAAAUUCAAGUUUCCGCUACGCGAACGUUUGGCCAUUAGCUAGUUUUCAUAUAAAGCGCUUACAUAGAGAGCUGUAGAUUUUUACAUACGUUGUUUUGAAUUUGUUUAUAUUUGUUUAAAAAACAGAUUCAGAAAAAGUCGUAGGGUUUAAAAGAUAAAAAUAUAAACGUAAAAUACACUUAUUAGGUCUUAGUUCUUAAAGUAUGCAGUUUGGGGUCUAGAUUUUCACGUUUACACAAACCUUGUAAGUGUCUCCAACAUGUUGCCAAGUAUCAAUGAUGUUUCGUUAGUAAUUAAAAAGUUAUAGGAUAUUUUACCAUGAACAGAUCACUGUUUACAAAGCAGUCGAAUAUCACGACGUUCUAAAGGAAUUGCAUGGUAAAAUGUAUGCCAAUAAUUAGUUUAAUCAUUCAACUAUUCACUUGCAAAAUUUCAUGUCAUUAAAUUCAGUAAUUAAAGAAAGACAAUUAAAAUAUCGAAACCCUACAUAAUCCGACCAAGUUCGGAUUGCUACAAAAAAGCGGCCGUGCCAUAUGUCUAAGCAACGUUCUUAACUUGGAAGGUUAGUAUAUUUAUUAAAAUGGUACAGUUGCGUAAACAAGCGUUAGGAAAAAAUAAAACAAUUGCAUUUCUUGAAUGAAAAAUAUUUUUUUAAUAAUAAUGCCACUAUCUACGACAUUUUAGUUAAAAUACAUAACGUUUAUUAACGUUAUUUUUAAUCACGUUGUCAAGUAAUUUAUGUAAGUAAUAAUAAUAAAAAUAUUUUUGUACACGGAUAUUUAAAUAGAAAAGUACUUGUUAAUUGAAGAUUUAUUUUUAUCGUAGAUAGUGGCAUUAUUAUUAAAAAAUAUUUUUCAAUCAAGAAAUACAAUUGUUUUAUUUUUUUCUAACGCUUGUGUACGCAACUGUACCAUAUUAAUAAAUACUAACCUACCAAGUUAAGAACGUUGCUUAGACAUAUGGCACGGCUGCUUUUGUAGCAAUCCGAACUUGGUCGGAUUAUGUAGGGUUUCGAUAUUUUAAUUGUCUUUCUUUAAUUACUGAAUUUAAUGACAUGAAAUUUUGCAAGUGAAUAGUUGAAUGAUUAAACUAAUUAUUGGCAUACAUUUUACCAUGCAAUUCCUUUAGAACGUCGUGAUAUUCGACUGCUUUGUAAACAGUGAUCUGUUCAUGGUAAAAUAUCCUAUAACUUUUUAAUUACUAACGAAACAUCAUUGAUACUUGGCAACAUGUUGGAGACACUUACAAGGUUUGUGUAAACGUGAAAAUCUAGACCCCAAACUGCAUACUUUAAGAACUAAGACCUAAUAAGUGUAUUUUACGUUUAUAUUUUAUCUUUUAAACCCUACGACUUUUUCUGAAUCUGUUUUUUAAACAAAUAUAAACAAAUUCAAAACAACGUAUGUAAAAAUCUACAGCUCUCUAUGUAAGCGCUUUAUAUGAAAACUAGCUAAUGGCCAAACGUUCGCGUAGCGGAAACUUGAAUUUCUCCGAAGUUUAUGCAUGCACUGAUUUCAUUCAUACAUAAUUAAUUAUACACAAAUACACACUAAUUUUCGAACACAUCUCUUUUCUUCUAAAGUCUAUGGAUUAAAAAAAGUUCCGCCAGGACAACGUUCGCCAACGUUCGCCCAGCGGAAUCUGUUUUUGGUGAAUUUCUCCACAAUGG